GUUUUGAUUAGGCUAAGCUUUUGCCAAUCGACAAAUCUUCCAAUAUUUAGCACCAUAAUUUCUUUCAUUAAUUGAUUCUUUUUUACUUUCAGUUCUUAAUAUGUAGAUGAAUCAACAUCCAAAUCUAUUACAAUCUACCUAAACUUUUGGAGGUAGUGGUUCUUAUUAUCCUAUCUUUCAAAGCACUACAUCAAAAGAAAUUAUCAAUGUUCUUACGUCUAUAAAUUUU
rnacentral:lncRNA from 1 species